rnacentral:rRNA from 1 species
UACGAAGGGGGCUAGCGUUGCUCGGAAUCACUGGGCGUAAAGCGCACGUAGGCGGCUUCUUAAGUCGGUGGUGAAAUCCUGGAGCUCAACUCCAGAACUGCCUUCGAUACUGGGAGCUCGAGUCCGGGAGAGGUGAGUGGAACUGCGAGUGUAGAGGUGAAAUUCGUAGAUAUUCGCAAGAACACCAGUGGCGAAGGCGGCUCACUGGCCCGGUACUGACGCUGAGGUGCGAAAGCGUGGGGAGCAAACAGG